ACGAACGCUGGCGGCGUGCUUAACACAUGCAAGUCGCACGGAAAGGCCCUGCUUGUGUGGGGUGCUCGAGUGGCGAACGGGUGAGUAACACGUGAGUAACCUGCCCUUGACUUUGGGAUAACUUCAGGAAACUGGGGCUAAUACCGGAUAGGAGCUCCUGCUGCAUGGUGGGGGUUGGAAAGUUUCGGCGGUUGGGGAUGGACUCGCGGCUUAUCAGCUUGUUGGUGGGGUAGUGGCUUACCAAGGCUUUGACGGGUAGCCGGCCUGAGAGGGUGACCGGGCACCAUGCGCCUGAGGUACGGAGCAGAAGGGUACCGGAGGCAACAGUGGAAAGCAUUGCGGAGUGGGGGGGAGUGAGUUACAACAGUGCUGGGUGCGGAAUGCCCGCUUUCGAGUGAUGAACAGAUUUGGAAUGUACCGAGGAGUGCGUGACGGUAAUGAAUCAGGAAGCCCCGGCUAACUACGUG
rnacentral:rRNA from 1 species